CCGGUGGCCGGGCGGCACCAACAAAGAUGGCGGCGGCCCUUGCGGCGGGAGCAAGCUGGGCAACAGCUGCGGCUAAAGCUGCAGCCUGGCCUGCGGGGAGGCUGUUCGGGGGUAGGAGGGGGUGGCCCUGAGCUGGAGCUGGACCCCGGCUGGCCUCCCCCGCCGCCUCACCGGGGGACAGGUCCAGCCUGCGGUGCCCACAAUGCCCCAGGCUUCUGAGCACCGCCUGGGCCGGACUCGAGAGCCACCUGUCAAUGUACAGCCCCGAGUGGGAGCCAAGAUACCGUUUCCUCCCCGGGCCCGCAGCAAGGAGCGCCGAAACCCAGUUCCUGGGCCAAACUCCAUGUUACGACCUUUGCCUCCCAGGCCAGGUCCCCCAGAUGAAAGGCUCAAGAAACUGGAUUUGGGUCGGGGUCGGACCUCAGGCUCUCGUCCUAGAGGUCCCCUUCGAGCAGAUCAUGGGGUUCCCUUGCCUGGCUCACCACCCCCAACUGUGGCUCUGCCUCUCCCAUCCCGGACCAACCUAACCCGAUCCAAGUCUGUGAGCAGUGGGGACUUGCGUCCAAUGGGGAUUGCCUUGGGAGGGCACCGUGGCACUGGCGAGCUAGGGGCUGCACUGAGCCGCCUGGCACUCCGGCCUGAGCCACCCACUUUGAGACGUAGUACUUCUCUCCGGCGUCUUGGGGGUUUCCCUGGACCCCCUACCCUGCUCAGCAUACGGACAGAGCCCCCUCCUUCCCAUGGCUCCUUCCACAUGAUAUCUGCCCGGCCUUCUGAGCCUUUCUACUCUGAUGACAAGAUGGUGAGGACUUGCCAGCACACGUGGUCUUCCAUGCACAUGCUCCUCUUGCCUUCAACUUUGUCAUACUAUGACUCUCCUGUGUUCCCUUCUCC
rnacentral:lncRNA from 1 species